UUUUGAUCAAUAAACUUCCAACUUUAGAACUCUGGGUGUUUGCCAAGAAACCACACAAACCAGAAAAAUCCUGAACCUUUAUAAUACUGUUUCAGCACUGGACAGUGAAAGGGUUUUAUAAAACCUUUCACUCCUUUGGCCCUUGAGAGCAAUAGAACAGUGUACACUGCUCAUCCCUUGAUUUGGCUAGAUUGGGGACUGAUUUUAACUCUUUUACACCUCAUCCCCUAACUGUUCAGCUUUUCACAUUAUGGGAAGGCUUUUGUGAAAUGGUGGGUGGUUUCAAACAGGAUGUGAUGUCAGUUAGAUGGGCAGAGGUGCAACCACAUAAGAAAAUAUGUAAGGUGUAAGGUGGGACCUGGCGUGGAAAUACACAUCUUGCUGCUGUACUGAAAAUAAUAGAAGGAGCAGACGUAGGACAGAUCUCCUUCUCUGCCCCCUCCUGCACCAGUGGUUUCACCUAUAGGCCUGCUUUUAGUAAGGUCUCACCCAGCCAGGUGUAGAUCCCUCCACCAAGUCCUCCCUGCCUGUAGCUCCCAAAAGCCUCACCGUGAACUCUGACAUGGUUGUCCUUUCUGUGGGUCAAAACUGAAGAGGUGACUCUGAGCUCCAUCCGUUCUCCUCCAUGGGAGGACAUUGCAAUUCAGGCUGAGUCGUCCAAGUGCAUUAAACCUCUAACCCCGUCAUUGUUUUUCCUUAUGUCAAAUUCCUGAACUUGCUAAUUUGGUUAACCUUUGAGUUAAACAAGUUUUGUAUUAAACUCUUGGGGCGGGGUUCAAUAUGCUACUGAAAAUCACGUGCUAAUUGCACUGAUUUAAACAGGCAUAGUUCAGCGGGCAGGCACUGUAGAGGCCUCAUACAUAUAGACAUGAACUACACCUCCUGUUUGUCCUACAGAGGCCUCCAAUCCUGCUGAGCUGUGUGCUGUCUUUCUGCUGUGAAAAACCUGGGACUCACUCGCUACUGGAUACUAAUUCGAGGCAGUUGCUGCAACAGCUGCCACCCCCACCAUCUCCUGGGACCCCGAACCUACAUCCUAAUCCUGAGAGAUGUCCUGACCAGACCAAAGAGAGAGGGACCCAGAUGACACCAUCACCUUUACUGGCUGAAAUCUGAACACAAGCAUGUCUCCAGUGCUACGCUCCUGUUUACUCCAAGCACUAGGCAACACUGACAAGCAAAACAACUUUCAAGGUAGUCCUUGACUGAAAGGGUUGAUUUUCUUCAGUGCAUCCAAAUGUUAGUGACUUGCAUACCAGAGGCAGUCACAUUAGAAGCUAGGAAGUGUCUUGGCUAAUCCUUCUCUUGCUCUAGCACCUUUCCCCCAUUGCUGGAGUCAGGAAAUGACUAGAUGGACCUCAAGUCUGAUCCACUAGGGCCAUUCCUAUGAAAAGUAGUGAGGCUGAAGAGUGCAGGAGCACUGAUGCCACUGAAGAGGCAGAAAAGGACCCUGCUAGCCAUGAUGAGUUCUCCAGCUACAUUCAGGCUGUGGUUCCACUGAAGAAUAUUCAUGGGUAGGACACUUAAAUAACCUGCUCUUCUCAAUCAGUGCAAAAGCAUCUGCUCCAUCAAUAUCUACAAGGCGCUCCAAGUUACCAAAGAAAAAGGAUGAUGGAACAAUAAGAGGGACUAAGCGAAAGCUUGAUGAAUGACUUCAUUUAGUUUGUGCUUUGGAAAAUAGUUUCUGGCACUACCCAAAAUGAAUGUAUUAUUAAAGGCUCUGCCUUAUGCCAAGUGAGUCUUUCAUUCUUGGCAUAUGUAGAGAUCAUAAAGGGCAAGACAGUGUUUUGCUGAGGUUUUGCUAAGCUUUUGUUAAAGUAAUAAGUAAACGUAACUAUUAUAAUUAUUGCCAGAGUGUUAAAACUAACUGGGUACAGAUAUCUAAGAAUGUUGGACAACAGGGGCAAACUGCAUGGGAAAGGAAAACUAGGGUUAAUAAAGGAAUUUGGAGAUUUUCCUGUCUAUGGUAACAGACUAUGGUGUGGGGGGGUUGUGUAUAUAUACAUGUUUAGCAGCAAGUUAAUGUUUUUGGCACAGAAUACGCUGAAUCUGCAUUCCUGCAUUAGAUAAAUUAAGCAACAAAUGCAUCCUAACACUGGGCAACAGUACAAAUUUGCAUUGCUGUUUUAAAAAAAAAAAAAAUCCAACCUAUGGCAAAUGCACUGCAAUAUGCUACUGCUUUCGUGGAGGUCUGUCCAUACUUUACCUGGUGCUUACUUUGUUAACGGUUGUGGUCUUGUCUCCCUGUGAUGCUGAAAAGUACUGUAUGUACUGCUGAAUGGCAUGUAAUGAUCUUUAGUAUCAUCCAGUGGCAUUAUGGAUAUUACAACUACUACUUAGCACUGAAAAAACCUUUGUUUACAAAGCACUGUACAAACUUGAACUAACCCAAAUUAAAUACAAAAGACCCAAAUGCUAGAAAAUGAAAAUCCAGUUCACAGUGAAAGAUGCAUUUUCUGCCCCAUAUUUCCUCCAUACAGAACAAUUGGGGGAAAUAGAAGACUGUAAAGCCACUCCUGUAGUAGCAGAGCAAUAUUAAUUGGGUAUAGUAGUCUUCACUUCCUAGUUCUAAAGAACUAGUGGGGUUUUGUGCUGUUUAGCAGCACAUGUCCCAUCACAGAGGGAAGGGGUGAACUGAUUAUGUUUUCAGUAGUAUGUGUGUACAGAUCCGUCUAAAUCCUAAGAUCUUAACUAUGAAAGGGGCAAGAGUGGACAUGCCAGGGGCUCUUGCUACUCCCAGUGACUUCUUACAGAUUUCCUAGGAAAGCAUGGCCAGAGGCUACAUUACUUGUCUGUAUCUGUUCCCUAAAGAAGGGGACAUUUUAGUGGGGGAAAGUAGCGCAUCUGCUAAAGAUUGCUGGGAGUGGGCAAAGUAACAGGGGGCUGAGAGAUGCUGUGAAGGCCUCUGUGGAGAUAGCCCUGUGCCCCCUUGCCAGAGAUUCCCAAACUCUACAUUUGUGGGCCUUCCCCCUCAAUGUUUUCUGGGGAUGAAGGGGCCAGGCGCCACCAUCCCUAAAGGAGGAAUGCAGAAGAAACCGAGUGGAACUUCAGAAAAGUUUGACAGUGUUUAGGCUGAUGGUGCAUUGAGACCCACCCUGUCAUGCUGACCACCAAUUCUGUCUCAUUGUUUCCUUGUAUUCCUCCAUCUGUUGGCUCUUACUGUAAGCGCUUUGGGGUAGGGACUGUCUUUUUGUUGUGUGUUUGUACAUCUCCUAGUACCACAGUAUCCUGGUCCAUGACUGAGGCUCCUCAGCACUACGGUAAUACAGAUCAUAACCUUGUUGAGUAUUUUGGCCUUUAUCUGGGUAUAGAAUUAUCACAUAGUGGAACCAUCAAGCUGCUGUUUUUACUCGGUUGCAGUUUGCCUGAGUAAGGAUAUCAGAAUUUGGUCAACAGUUUGUAAGUGCUUUAUGACUGGGAAUCAAAGGUGCUAUAUAAACAUAAAGUGUCAAAAAGCAAUCUAUUAUCAAUUCCUCGACAAUUUGAUUGUAGGUCUGCUGUUGUAUGGUCUCAACCAAAUGAAUGUGGAUCUCCCUGCUUCUUGAUGUAUUAUUCUGACCUCCAUGAUAGCAUAGCUCGUUUUGUCACCCACAAGGGAACAAAUGAAAUGCCUCAACACUGAUUCAUUUCUGCACACUGUGAAGCCAACCUGAAAUAUACAAAGUAUGGAGGAAAUUGCAGUGACCAGAGAAUCUAGUUUAAUGGGUGCUGUACAGGA